UGAGGGAAUAUUGGGUCAAUGGACGAGAGUCUGAACCAGCCAAGUAGCGUGCAGGAUGACGGCCCUCCGGGUUGUAAACUGCUUUUAGUUGGGAAUAAAAAAGGUGACGUGUCACCUAUUGUAUGUACCAUCAGAAUAAGGACCGGCUAAUUCCGUGCCAGCAGCCGCGGUAAUACGGAAGGUCCGGGCGUUAUCCGGAUUUAUUGGGUUUAAAGGGAGCGUAGGCCGGAGAUUAAGCGUGUUGUGAAAUGUAGAGGCUCAACCUCUGCACUGCAGCGCGAACUGGUCUUCUUGAGUACGCACAACGUGGGCGGAAUUCGUGGUGUAGCGGUGAAAUGCUUAGAUAUCACGAAGAACUCCGAUUGCGAAGGCAGCUCACGGGAGCGCAACUGACGCUGAAGCUCGAAAGUGCGGGUAUCGAACAGGAUUAGAUACCCUGGUAGU
rnacentral:rRNA from 1 species